AUUUCUACUUUAACAAUAGUUCUGACCUUUGAGUAAAAUUUGGUAAGUGCUAUUUGUUGGGUAGUUUUA
rnacentral:pre_miRNA from 1 species